rnacentral:rRNA from 1 species
AUGGAGGAUGAAAAUAAUGAGGUCGUGGAGGAGAUUGCCAAGAAGAUUGUCCAAGACAUGCCUUACGAGGCUCGCGUCAAUGUUGUGGUAAAGUAUUUCGCGCAUGAACGCAAGAUCCUUCUUAAAAAGCCGCUAGCCCGGAGAGUGCAUCUCACCCAUUCCAUGUACAUGAAGGCGGUUCCCCCGUGGUGCAACAACAAGAUUCCUUGCUACCAGCAAAUCAUAUCUAGGUGGAUAAACCCAGAGUGGAGGGCCACACGCAGAGCAGCUUCGGAGCGACGUGCCUUCAAGGCAACCUCAACCUCCAUGCUUACGUGCAGAAGAAGAAUAGGGAGAGAGGUGAGGGUGAAGAGCCGCUCAAUACCUUCACGGGAUUAUGUCUCUCCCGCAAGUCAAAGAAACUGGAAGGGGGGUGGGUCAACCCAAGGGCUGGGUUGA